AUUGAACGCUAGCGGGAUGCUUUACACAUGCAAGUCGAACGAGUGGCGGACGGGUGAGUAAUAUAACGGAACGUGCCCCGUAGCGGGGGAUAACUAAUUGAAAGAGUGGCUAAUACCGCAUUCUAUUGGUGCGGACCAUAUUGGAUUAGCUAGUUGGUGGGGUAAAGGCUCACCAAGGCCACCAUCCUUAGCUGGUUUGAUAGGACGACUAGCCACACUGGGACUGAGACACGGCCCAGACUCCUACGGGAGGCAGCAGUGGGGAAUUUUGGACAAUGGGGGAAACCCUGAUCCAGCCAUCCCGCGUGUAUGAGAAGGCCUUCGGGUUGUAAAGUACUUUUGGCAGAGAAGCGGUAUCUGCAGAAUAAGCACCGGCUAACUACGUGCCAGCAGCCGCGGUAAUAC
rnacentral:rRNA from 1 species